rnacentral:rRNA from 1 species
GAUGAACGCUGGCGGCGUGCCUAAUACAUGCAAGUCGAGCGAACAGACGAGGAGCUUGCUCCUCUGACGUUAGCGGCGGACGGGUGAGUAACACGUGGAUAACCUACCUAUAAGACUGGGAUAACUUCGGGAAACCGGAUCUAAUACCGGAUAAUAUAUUGAACCGCAUGGUUCAAUAGUGAAAGACGGUUUUGCUGUCACUUAUAGAUGGAUCCGCGCCGCAUUAGCUAGUUGGUAAGGUAACGGCUUACCAAGGCAACGAUGCGUAGACGACCUGAGAGGCGGCGCGGCCACACUGGAACUGAGACACGGUCCAGACUCCUACGGGAGGCAGCAGGAGGGAAUCUUCCGGAAUGGGCGAAAGCGUGACGGAGCAACGCCGCGUGAGUGAUGAAGGUCUUCGGAUCGUAAAACUCUGUUAUGAGGGAAGAACAAAUGUGUAAGUAACUAUGCACGUCUUGACGGUACCUAAUCGGAAAGCCACGGCUAACUACGGG